rnacentral:rRNA from 1 species
GACGAACGCUGGCGGCGUGCUUAACACAUGCAAGUCGAACGAAGAGCGAUGGAAGCUUGCUUCUAUCAAUCUUAGUGGCGCACGGGUGAGUAACGCGUAAUCAACCUGCCCUUCAGAGGGGGACAACAGUUGGAAACGACUGCUAAUACCGCAUACGAUCUAAUCUCGGCAUCGAGGAUAGAUGAAAGGUGGCCUCUACAUGUAAGCUAUCACUGCAGGAGGGGAUUGCGUCUGAUUAGCUAGUUGGAGGGGUAACGGCCCACCAAGGCGAUGAUCAGUAGCCGGUCUGAGAGGAUGAACGGCCACAUUGGGACUGAGACACGGCCCAGACUCCUACGGGAGGCAGCAGUGGGGAAUCUUCCGCAAGGGACGAAAGUCUGACGGAGCAACGCCGCGUGAGUGAUGACGGCCUUCGGGUUGUAAAGCUCUGUUAAUCGGGACGAAAGGCCUUCUUGCGAAUAGUGAGAAGGAUUGACGGUACCGGAAGAGAAAGCCACGGCUAACUACGUG